GCCCGGUCAUAGUUUUAGAUCUUGUGAGUAGGAGAGAUAAUGAUUAUGCAAUCGUCAUCAGUCAUUAGUACAUCCAUAUUAUUAUAGGCAUAGGCAUGCGCAGGAAUUUUUCACAGGGUGUGCAGAAUAAUUUUUUUUUUUAUUCUUUCAUAUAAACACGUUUUCUACCAGAAAGCAUAAUCCGAUUAUCAAGUAAAGUUAUCUUUAAAGUACCUU